GAAUUAGACAAAUGAUAGAAUAAUCAGCAAAAUGGGUAGAAUAGAGAUGAAAAGUUGAUCCUCUUGGAACAAGAUGUUCCACUAAAAUCAAUCAAGUCUAAAAGAUUGGAAAACAAUCCUUCAAAGCUGGUCCUUGACAAAUCUAGAGUUGAAGAACUUUCACCAAACAUUCCAAAAGAGAAAUAGUGUUCAAAUUUCUUCUAAAAUGCAAAAGGAAAAACUCUAGAGUGUUUUCAAAGUAUAUUUAAACUAGCUCAAAGAGAAAGUGGCCAGCCCUAUUUAUAAAUUCUCUCAGCCACAAAGUACAAGUUGCUUUAAACUCUUAAGGAUAAAUGUAACAUUUAUCCACAAAAGUUUAAACUAAAGACGUGGCUUGGAGGUUGGGGGCAAUUCACCCAGAGGAUCGAGAACUGCAAGAAAGAGAGAGAGAGAUGGAUUUGACGAUGGAUUCAUGUCCCCCUUAUUACGAGGGUGAUUAGAUUUGGAACGGCCAUGACCUCAACGAGCUGUCAUAUUUGGUGGUACUUAUCAUUUGACAGGGCUUUAUCUAUGCAUUGAAGCUUCAGUUGAGCGAAACAACCCAAUUAGAUGAAGCAUGCGUAGCCAAUGUAAUUAUAGAUGACGACUGUACAGCCUAUAACCUAAGUGUAUUUAUAAUUCAUUAGAGAAGGUUCUGAAAAAUAACUAUUGAAAAAGAAAAUCUAUAUCUCGUCCGUCAUUAAUAGCAAAUAAUAUUUGAAGUA